GGCGGCGUACCCAAGUGGACCAAGGGGACGGAUUGCAAAUCCGUUAUUCAUGGGUUCGAAUCCCAUCGCCGCCU
rnacentral:tRNA from 2 species